rnacentral:rRNA from 1 species
GACGAACGCUGGCGGCGUGCUUAACACAUGCAAGUCGAACGGAAAGGCCUGUUUCGGGGGGUACUCGAGUGGCGAACGGGUGAGUAACAAGUGAGUAACUUGCCCUUGACUUUGGGAUAACUUCAGGAAACUGGGGCUAAUACCUGAUAGGAGCUCCAGCUGCAUGGUGGGGGUUGGAAAGUUUCGGCGGUUGGGGAUGGACUCGCGGCUUAUCAGCUUGUUGGUGGGGUAGUGGUUUACCAAGGCUUUGACGGGUAGCCGGCCUGAGAGGGUGACCGGCCACAUUGGGACUGAGAUACGGCCCAGACUCCUACGGGAGGCAGCAGUGGGGAAUAUUGCACAAUGGGUGGAAGCCUGAUGCAGCAACGCCGUGUGCGGGACGACGGCCUUCGGGUUGUAAACCGCUUUCGCUCAUGACGAAGCUUUGUGUGACGGUAGUGGGUAAAGAAGCACCGCCUAACUACGU